rnacentral:lncRNA from 13 species
UUAUUCUUGGUCCAGUGGGAAAGUUAGUGUGUCAGCAGAUAAUUAAAAUACAUUCCAAAGAUACUUUUCUUUUCUUUUCUUUUCUUUUUUUUUAAGAUAGGCUCUUGCUUUGUUGCCCAGGCUGCAAUGCAGUGUUGCAAUAAUAGCUAAUGCAGCCUUGAUCUUCCAGGCUCAAGUGAUCCUCCUGCUUCAGCCUCCUGAGUAGCUGGGCCUACAGGUAUGUGCAACCAUGUCUAGCUAAUUUUAAAAGAAAAUUUUGUAGAGAUGGGUUCUCUCUAUGUUGCCCAGGCUGGUCUUGAACUCCUGAGCGCCACCUAUUCUACCACCUUGAUCUCCCAAAGUGCUGGGAUUACAGGUGUGAGCUACCACAUCCAACCAAAAACACAUUUAUUUUUCUCCUUUUCAGCUGACCUCCCUAGUUUUCAAGUCAUUGGAACUUGGAGGCCCACGUUGUUUCACAUGCAUGUUUCAGAGCCGGAGACCAUCGUGAACAUCAGUAUCAGUUGGAAUUGGAAGAUUUCGGGAAACUCUGGACUGACAAUGUGGCUGCAACAGCUUUCACAUUGCUCUUCUGGAAGAUUCCAGAGAAAGUUGGCCAAAUCCAGAGAAAACAAUUACACAGAGUGAAAACUGAACUGGUUGGAAGCCCCCUGCAUAAAACCCUGGUUACAGAAGGCAGACCAAACAAGGAAGCCAGCGUGGAUGUCCUGCCUG